CACGUGGGUAACCUGCCCUGAUGAUCGGGACAACUCGAGGAAACUCGAGCUAAUACCGUAUGUGCCCUCCGGCCGUAAGGCCUCUGGGGAAAGGAAGCUUCGGCCUCCGCAUCGGGAUGGGCCCGCGGCCCAUUAGCUUGUUGGUGAGGUAACGGCUCACCAAGGCUACGAUGGGUAGCUGGUCUGAGAGGACGAUCAGCCACACUGGGACUGAGACACGGCCCAGACUCCUACGGGAGGCAGCAGUGGGGAAUCUUGCGCAAUGCGCGAAAGCGUGACGCAGCAACGCCGCGUGGGGGA
rnacentral:rRNA from 1 species